rnacentral:rRNA from 1 species
GAUGAACGCUGGCGGCGUGCCUAAUACAUGCAAGUCGAGCGAACGGACGAGAAGCUUGCUUUUCUGAUGUUAGCGGCGGACGGGGAGUAACACGUGGAUAACCUACCUAUAAGACUGGGAUAACUUCGGGAAACCGGAGCUAAUACCGGAUAAUAUUUUGAACCGCAUGGUUCAAAAGUGAAAGACGGUCUUGCUGUCACUUAUAGAUGGAUCCGCGCUGCAUUAGCUAGUUGGUAAGGUAACGGCUUACCAAGGCAACGAUGCAUAGCCGACCUGAGAGGGUGAUCGGCCACACUGGAACUGAGACACGGUCCAGACUCCUACGGGAGGCAGCAGUAGGGAAUCUUCCGCAAUGGGCGAAAGCCUGACGGAGCAACGCCGCGUGAGUGAUGAAGGCCUUCGGAUCGUAAAACUCUGUUAUUAGGGAAGAACAUAUGUGUAAGUAACUGUGCACAUCUUGACGGUACCUAAUCAGAAAGCCACGGCUAUCUACGUG